AUGUCACACACAUGCUGUGAGGCAAACGGAGCAACUGGAAUAAAAAAGAUAAUUUUCUAUCAUAUUGAAAUUGAUGAUAUAGAAGCAGGUGUGUUCAAGUCCUUGCUCCAUUUCAUCUACACGGACUCACUCCCUGAGACGACUCAUGAAGGAACCGAUGAAGGCGCAACGCAAGAAGAUAUAGCAACAGCUGGCCAUCUACUUGUAGCGGCAGAUAGGUACGACAUUGCGAGGCUCAAGCUGAUAUGUGAGGAGAUAUUGUGUAAUCACAUCGAUUCCGACAUGGUUGCAACUAGCUUGGUUUUGGCUGAGCAGCAUAAUUACCAUGGACUCAAGGAGGCUUGCUUCGAGUUCCUUGCUUCUCCGUCCAAUUUGGAAGGGAUGAUCGCAAGCGAUGGUUACAAACAUCUAAAAAGGAGUUGCCCGUCUCUUCUCAAAGAGCUGAUUGCUAGGCUCUUGCCUGUUGAGCUGACAGCAGCUAAGGAUAUUAUCAGGGACAUUUAG
rnacentral:rRNA from 1 species